UUUCUUAAAUAUGUUUUAUUUCAUAAAUCAUAUCAGUACAUUUUAUUUAACCUUUAUUUAACUAGGCAAGUCAGUUAAGAACAAAUUCUUAUUUACAAUGACGGCCUAGGAACAGUGGGUUAACUGCCUUGUUCAGGGGCAGAACAACAGAUUUGUACCUCUUGGACUCGCUGGUGUUCAGUCUUGUGCAGUGAAUAAAUGGAAAAUGGUGCUAUAAGAACCUUUCACUGAUGUUAAAUAAGAAGCAUCUAUAUUUUCAGUUUAUAGAAUGUAUCCAAUGUGUGUAUUUAAUGGGUUUACAGCUAAGGUGGCAAUAUCUUUAUUUUAACCAUAAAGUUAUUCAUAUCAGGGGGAAUUUACAAAGAUCACCAUCAUCACGAUAAUACAAUUAAAUGGUCAACAUUCUGGAAUGGAGAUUAAGUAACAAAAAAAACUUGUGGGUCAACAACCUGUUUCCACAACAAACAAAAAAAUAAUAAUAAUAAUAAUUAAUAAAUGUGAUUGUAGUUGAAAUAGUUAGUGUCAAAAUACUUAGUGCAAUUCCAUCUCGUAAAAUAAAUAUUAUCCAAAACAUAUGAUGUUCAUUUGAUCAUUUAAAGCCACAGCAAAUCUGAUUAAAAGAAAACUUUAAAUUAGAUUAAUUACAUAUAGUCAGCUAAAGACAUAUAUUCUCUCUAUCAUACAUACUGUACAUACAUACAUACAUACAUACAUACAUACAUACUGUACAUACUAUACAUACAUACAUACAUACAUACAUACAUACAUACAUACAUACAUACAUACAUACUGUACAUACAUACAUACAUACUGUACAUACAUACAUACAUACAUACAUACAUACAUACAUACAUACAUACAUACUGUACAUACAUACUGUACAUACAUACAUAAAUACAUACAUACAUACAUACAUACUGCACAUACAUACAUACUGUACAUACAUACAUACAUACAUACAUACAUACAUACAUACAUACAUACUGUACAUACAUACAUACAUACAUACAUACAUACAUACAUACAUACAUACAUACUGUACAUACAUACAUACAUACAUACAUACAUACAUACAUACAUACAUACAUACAUACAUACAUACAUCCUGUACAUACAUACAUACAUACAUACUGUACAUACAUACAUACAUACAUACAUACUGUACAUACAUACUGUACAUACUGUACAUACAUACUGUACAUACAUACUGUACAUACAUACAUACAUACAUACAUACAUACAUACAUACUGUACAUACAUACUGUACAUACAUACAUACAUACAUACAUACAUACAUACAUACAUACAUACAUACUGCACAUACAUACAUACUGUACAUACAUACAUACAUACAUACAUACAUACAUACAUACAUACAUACAUACAUACUGUACAUACAUACAUACAUACAUACAUACAUACAUACAUACAUACAUACAUACUGUACAUACAUACAUACAUACAUACAUACAUACAUACAUACAUACAUACAUACAUACAUACAUACAUCCUGUACAUACAUACAUACAUACUGUACAUACAUACAUACAUACAUACAUACAUACAUACUGUACAUACAUACUGUACAUACUGUACAUACAUACUGUACAUACAUACUGUACAUACAUACAUACAUACAUACAUACAUACUGUACAUACAUACUGUACAUACAUACAUACAUACAUACAUACAUACAUACAUACAUACAUACAUACUGUACAUACAUACAUACAUACAUACAUACAUACUGUACAUACAUACAUACAUACUGUACAUACAUACAUACAUACAUACAUACAUACAUACAUACAUACAUACUGUACAUACAUACAUAUAUACAUACAUACAUACAUACUGUACAUACAUACUGUACAUACAUACAUACAUACAUACAUACAUACAUACUGUACAUACAUACAUACAUACAUACAUACUGUACAUACAUACAUACUGUACAUACAUACAUACAUACAUACAUACUGUACAUACAUACAUACAUACAUACAUACAUACAUACAUACAUACAUACAUACUGUACAUACAUACAUACAUACAUACAUACAUACAUACAUACAUACAUACAUACAUACAUACUGUACAUACAUACAUACAUACAUACAUACAUACAUACAUACAUACAUAUAUACAUACAUACAUACUGUACAUACAUACCUACAUACAUACAUACUGUACAUACAUACAUACAUACAUACAUACAUACAUACAUACAUACAUACAUACAUACUGUACAUACAUACAUACUGUACAUACAUACAUACUGUACAUACAUACAUACUGUACAUACAUACAUACAUACUGUACAUACAUACAUACAUACAUACAUACAUACAUACAUACAUACAUACAUACAUACUGUACAUACAUACAUACAUACAUACAUACAGUACAUACAUACAUACUGUACAUACAUACAUACAUACAUACUGUACAUACAUACAUACAUACAUACAUACAUACAUACAUACAUACAUACAUACAUACAUACAUACAUACAUACAUAUAUUUGGAAUGUAUAGCUUCAAGCUACAUGAUAUGUGUUCAUAGUCAUAGACAGGCAAGAAAGAAUGUUGCCAAAAAAAAAAAUAUAUAUAUAUAUAUAUAAAUAUAUAUAAUCCUAAAAAAUCUACAAAAUAUAUUUAUUGUGCUUGAGGUACUUCCUUUUGCAUUCAAGUUUCACAUAGACAGUACAUAAUGUAUAUAACUAUUGCUCCAUUUGCAGUUAAUUACAUGUAGCUCCUUAGGACAAAGGCUUAUUAAUAUCUGAGUAGAAUAAAAACAUUUAUUUCAAUAAUUCAUUAUUCUAUUCAUUACAGUUAUAGUUGAUUAGUGUACUAACACCACUCAAGCGUAAACUCAGCAACAAAAAAAAGAAACGUCGUCUCACUGUCAACUGCGUUUAUUUUCAGCAAACUUAACAUGUGUAAAUAUGUGUAUGACCAGAACAAGAUUCAACAACAAAAACUGAACAAGUUCCACAGACAUGUGACUAACAGAAAUGGAAUAAUGUGUCCCUGAACAAAGGGGGGGUUAAAAGUAACAGUCAGUAUCUGGUGUGGCCACCAGUGCAUCUCCUCCUCAUGGACUGCAGCAGAUUUGCCAGUUCUUGCUGUGAGAUGUUACCCCACUCUUCCAACAAGGCACCUGCAAGUUCCCGGACAUUCCUGUGGGGAAUGGCCCUAUCCCUCACCCUCCGAUCCAACAGGUCCCAGAUGUGUUCAGUGGGAUUGAGAUCUGGGCUCAUUGCUGGCCAUGGCAGAACACUGACAUUCCUGUCUUGCAGGAAAUCACGCACAGAACGAGCAGUAUGGCUGGUGGCAUUGUCAUGCUGGAGGGUCAUGUCAGGAUGAGCCUGCAGGAAGGGUACCACAUGAGGGAGGAGGAUGUCUUCCCUGUAACGCACAGCGUUGAGAUUGCCUGCAUUGACAACAAGCUCAGUCCAAUGAUGCUGUGACACACCGCCCCAGACCAUGACGGACCCUCCACCUCCAAAUCAAUCCCGCUCCAGAGUACAGGCCUCGGUGUAACGCUCGUUCCUUCGAUGAUAAACGUGAAUCCGACCAUCACCCCUGGUGAGACAAAACCGUGACUCGUCAGUGAAGAGUACUUUUUGCCAGUCCUGUCUGGUCCAGCAACGUUGGGUUUGUGCCCAUAGGCGACGUUGUUGCCAGUGAUGUCUGGUGAGGACCUGCCUUACAACAGGCCUACAAGACCUCAGUCCAGUCUCUCUCAGGCUAUUGCGGACAGUCAGAGCACUGAUGGAGGGAUUGUGCGUUCCUGGUGUAACUUGGGCAGUUGUUGUUGCCAUCCUGUACCUGUCCCGCAGGUGUACCGAUCCUGUGCAGGUGUUGUUACACGUGGUCUGCCACUGCGAGGAAUAUCAGCUGUCCGUCCUGUCUUCCUGUAGCGCUCUCUUAGGCGUCUCACAGUACGGACAUUGCAAUUUAUUGCCCUGGCCACAUCUGCGGUCCUCAUGCCUCCUUGCAGCAUGCCUAAGGCACGUUCACGCAGAUGAGCAGAGACCCUGGGCAUCUUUCUGUUGGUGUUUUUCAGAGUCAGUAGAAAGGCCUCUUUAGUGUUCUAAGUUUUCAUAACUGUGACCUUAAUUGCCUACCGUCUGUAAGCUGUUAGUGUCUUAACGACCGUUCCACUGGUGCAUGUUCAUUAAUUGUUUAUGGUUCAUUGAACAAGCAUGGGAAACAGUGUUAAAACGCUUUACAAUGAAGAUCUGUGAAGUAAUUUGGAUUUUUACGAAUUAUCUUUGAAAGAUAGGGUCCUGAAAAAGGGACGUUUCAUUUUUUGCUGAGUUUAGUUUAUAUAAAAUAUACAAUAUAAACAAGUUUCAAUAUUCUUCCAGAAAAAUAUAUAUUUUCUGUUCUGUGAAAAUAACAGAGAAUUUGACUAAUUUCAGUUCGCAUAUUUCAAGUUUUAAAAGAUUCCCUUUUUUUUGCAUAACUUUCCUGUGCCAUGUGACGUGUGCAAUCACAGUGGUAGUACUGAAAUAAAGUGCUUUGAUCAUUAUUUAAUCAAGUGAUGGAUCACUAUCAACAAUUCUAUCAUCUCUUUCAAACCAAGAUGUUUUUCUGCCAACUUUACCAUACAGCCAACUUUUUUUGAGCUUUUCCAUAAAGGUUAUUGCCGAUAUCGAAGCCGAAACUUUUAUUUGCUCCUAAUGAUCUAGUAAUCAUUUCUGUUAAAUUCUCCCUACGGCUUAGUAUGAAAUGUAGCUGUUAGUGUGCCUUAAUGCUGAGGCGGUAUUGGCACGCACUACGCUCUAAAACGCUUGAUAGUUGCAAGGCAGUGAACGUUAACCAUCCUAACCUUUGCAAGGCAUGUCACUUCACCCAUCUCUUCUCAUAGCCCACCACUAAGCACGCACUGUUUUCUUACCCACAACUGGAUUGAUUCAUAAAGAAUUACUGUGGGGAUAAAUCUCACUGAAUGACCAAAAUAUAAAUGGAAUGAAGUAGGCUAAAUCAAUAGAAAGGCAUGUAUCAAAUUGUUGCUUACUAAAUCUCCCAAAGUCAUCCAAUUCUUAUAAUACAUUUGAAGCAAUAGCCUACUUGCGUCAGGCUGCGUGUGGUCAACUAGAUACAGUGCAUUCGGAAAGUAUUCAGACCCCUUGACUAGUUCCACAUUUUGUUACGUUACAGCCAUAAUCUAAAAUGGAUUAAAUCGUUUUUUUCCUCAUCAAUCUACACACAAUACCCCAUAAUGACAAAGCAAAAAUGUAUUAAACAUUUUAAAGUUAAAUAUCACAUUUACAUAAUGUAUUCAGACCCUUUACUCAGUACUUUGUUGAAGCACCUUUGGCAGUGAUUACAGCAUCGAGUCUUCUUGGGUAUGACGCUACAAGCUUGGCACACCUGUAUUUGGGGAGUUUCUCCCAUUCUUCUCUGCAGAUCCUCUCAAACUCUGUAAGGUUGGACGGGGAGUUUCACUGCACAGCUAUUUUCAGGUCUCUCCAGAAAUGUUUGAUCGGGUUCAAGCCUGGGCUCUGGCUGGGCAACUCGAGAACAUUCAGAGACUUGUCCCGAAGCCACUCUUGCAUUGUCUUGGCUGUGUGCUUAGGGUCGUUGUCCUGUUGGAAGGUGAACCUUCUCCCCAGUCUGAGGUCCCGAGUCCUCGGGAGCAGGUUUUCAUCAAGGAUCACUCUGUACUUUGCUCUGUUCAUCUUUACCUCGAUCCUAACUAUUCUCCCAAUCCCUGCUGCUGAAAAACAUCCCCACAGCAUGAUGCUGCCACCACCAUGCUUCACCGUAGGGAUGGUGCCAGGUUUCCUCCAGGUGUGAUGCUUGGCAUUUAGGCCAAAGAGUUCAAUCUCGGUUUCAUCAGACCAGAGAAUCUUGUUUCUCAUGGUCUAUGAGUCCUUUAGGUGCCUUUUGGCAAACUCCAAGUGUGUUGUCAUGUGACUUUUACUGAGGAGUAGCUUCCGUCUGGCCACUCUACCAUAAAGGCCUGAUUGGUGGAGUGCUGCAGAGAUGAUUGUCCUUCUGAAAGGAUCUCCCAUCCCCACAGAGGAACUCUGGCGUUCUGUCAGAGUGACCAUUGGGUUCUUGGUCAUCUCCCUGGCCAAAGCCCUUCUCCCCAAUUGCCCAGUUUGGCCGGGCGGCCAGCUCUAGGAAGAGUCUUGGUGGUUCCAAACUUCUUCCAUUUAAGAUUGAUGGAGGACACUGUGUUCUUGGGGACCUUCAAUGUUGCAGACAUUUUUUGGUACCCUGCCCCAGAUCUGUGCCUGACACAAUCCUGUUUCUAAAUUUUACGGACAAUUCCUUCAACCUCAUGGAAUGGUUUUUGCUCUGAUAUGCACUGUCAACUGUGGGACCUAAUAUAGACAGGUGUGUGCCUUUCCAAAUCAUGUCCAAUCAAUUGAAUUUACUACAGGUGGACUCCAAUCAAGUUGUAGAAACAUCUCAAGGACGAUCAUUGGAAACAGGAUGCAGCUGAGCUCAAUUUCGAGUCUUACAGCAAAGGGUCUGAAUACUUAGGUAAAUAAGGUUUAUAAUUUGUAAUAAAUUUGCAAACAUUUCUAAAAACUUGUUUUCGCUUUGUCAUUAUGGGUUAUUGUGUGCUGAUUUAUUGGGACAGCACCAACACACUGCUUUGAGACAUGCGUUGGGACUCAUCUUGAUAAAUCAAUCAAUGUCAGAUUUGUGUUUUCACUGAAUCUCCGUUUGGAUAUUGGUUAGGCUACAAUUAGGCUGGGAAAUGUUAGCUAAAUUGAGGUGAGUGAUGCUCAUGAUCAUCUAGUCUGAUUUAUCAGAACAUUUAGUCUAGUUGGCUGAUUUAUCAGAACAUUUAGUCUAGUUGGCUGAUUUAUUAGAACAUUUAGUCUAGUUGGCUGAUUUAUCAGAACAUUUAGUCUAGUUAGCUGAUUUAUCAGAACAUUUAGUCUAGUUGGCUGAUUUAUCAGAACAUUUAGUCUAGUUGUAUCAGAACAUUUAGUCUAGUUGGCUGAUUUAUCAGAACAUUUAGUCUAGUUGGCUGAUUUAUCAGAACAUUUAGUCUAGUUGGCUGAUUUAUCAGAACAUUUAGUCUAGUUGGCUGAUUUAUCAGAACAUUUAGUCUAGUUGGCUGAUUUAUCAGAACAUUUAGUCUAGUUGGCUGAUUUAUCAGAACAUUUAGUCUAGUUGGUUUACGGUGGUCGACAGAGGCGGACAGAGCCUUCAACCAGUUGAAGGCGCUGUUCACUGAUGCACCCGUGUUGGCGCACCCGGACCCCUCUUUAGGGUUCAUAGUGGAGGUGGACGCGUCCGAGGCUGGGGUGGGUGCCGUGCUAUCACAGCGCUCGGAUACGCCACCGAAACUCCACCCCUGCGCUUUCUUUUCUAGAAAGCUCGGUCCGGCGGAACGCAACUAUGAUGUGGGGGACCGGGAGCUGUUUGCUGUGGUCAGGGCUCUGACCGUGUGGAGACACUGGCUUGAGGGGGCUAGACACCCUUUUCUCAUCUGGACGGACCACCGGAACCUGGAGUAUAUCCGGGCAGCUAGGAGACUGAAUCCGCGUCAGGCAAGGUGGGCCCUGUUCUUCACCCGCUUUAGGUUCACCAUUUCGUAUAGACCAGGUUCCCUGAACACGAAGGCCGACGCGUUGUCCCGUCUCUAUGACACGGAGGAUCGGCCCAUCGAUCCUACUCCCAUCCUUCCAGCCUCUAAGCUGGUAGCACCAAUGGUAUGGGAGGUGGACGUGGACAUUGAGCGGGCGUUACAGGUGGAACCUGCGCCUCCUAAAUGUCCUACAGGUCGCAAGUACGUGCCGCUUGGUGUCCGUGAUCAACUGAUUCGGUGGGCUCACACACUACCCUCUUCGGGUCAUCUUGGUGUGGAGAGGACAGUGCGGGGCCUUAGGGGGAAGUACUGGUGGCCCACCUUGGCUAAGGACGUGAGGUUCUAUGUCUCUUCCUGUUCGGUGUGCGCCCAGAGUAAGGCUCCUAGGCACCUUCAUAGAGGGAAGUUACAACCCCUCCCCGUUCCACAACGGCCGUGGUCUCACCUGUCGGUGGACUUCCUUACCGAUCUUCCCCCGUCUCAGGGGAACACCAAGGUCCUGGUUGUUGUGGAUCGGUUUUCUAAGUCCUGCCGUCUCCUUCCAUUGCCCGGUCUCCCUACGGCCCUACAGACUGCGGAAGCUCUAUUCACCGGAGGACAUCAUCUCUGAUCGGGGUCCCCAGUUCACGUCCCGAGUGUGGAGGGCGUUUGUGGAGCGUCUGGGGGUCUCGGUCAGCUUGACCUCCGGUUAUCACCCCGAGAGCAAUGGACAGGUGGAGAGAGUGAACCAGGAGGUGGGUAGGUUUCUGCGGUCGUAUUGCCAGGACCGGCCAGGGGAGUGAUCCAGGUACGUCCCAUGGGCAGAGCUGGCACAGAACUCACUCCGCCACUCCUCCACUAACAUGUCACCAUUUCAAUGCGUGUUAGGCUACCAGCCGGUCCUGGCACCAUGGCAUCAGAGUCAGAUCGAGGCUCCUGCGGUGGAGGAGUGGGUGCAGCGCUCCAAAGAGACCUGGAGGGCUGUCCAGGAAUCCCUCAAGCAAGCAGGUGGACGGCAGAAGAGGAGCGCUGACCACCACCGCAGUGAGGCCCCCGUGUUCGUACCGGGGGACAGGGUCUGGCUCUCGACCCGAAACCUACCCCUCCGCUUGCCCUGCCGGAAGCUGGGGCCGCAGUGUGUGGGGCCCUUCAAAGUCCUGAGGAGGAUAAACGAGGUGUGUUACAGAUUCCAACUCCCUUCCUAUUAUUGUAUUAACCCCUCGUUUCAUGUGUCUCUCCUCAGGCCGGUGGUAGCUUGUCCCCUGCAAGAAGGUGAGGUGCCGGAGGUCCCACCGCCCCAUCUGGACAUCGAGGGGUCCCCGGCGUACACAGUACGUGCUAUUCUGGACUCGAGACGCCGAGUGAGGGGCCUGCAGUACCUCGUAGACUGGGAGGGGUACGGCCCGGAGGGGAGGUGCUGGGUACCGGUGGGGACAUCCUGGAUCCAUCACUGUUGAGGGAUUUCCAUCGCCUCCAUCUGGAUCGCCCUGCGCCUCGCCCUCCGGGUCGGCCCACGAGGCCGGUGUCGGCGCGCUGCGGGAGCCGCGCGUCAGGGGGGGGUACUGUCACGAAGCCUACCGAGGGUGACUCCUCUCCCUGUUCGGGUGGCGCUCGGCGGUCGUCGUCACCGGCCUACUAGCUGCUACCGAUCCCUUUUUCCCUUUUCUGUUUGUUUUGUCUAAUUAGUUUCACCUGUUUUCAUUUAGGCUUGUUAGUUGGACUAUUUAAGCCAGUAGGCCCGGCUGUUCUUUGUGCGGGCUUAAUGAUCCUUCCACUGUGUUCUGCGUGGUGGAUAGUAUAUUUUGGGUGUUUGUAUUUUGGUGCACCCGGCAUUUUGGGCGAAUUACUUUUGUGCGUAAUAAAGCGUUACAUUGAACUUUCUGUCUCCUGCGCCUGACUCCGCACCCACUACGCCCAGACCGUUACACUAGUUGGCUGAUUUAUCAGAACAUUUAGUCUAGUUGGCUGAUUUAUCAGAACAUUUAGUCUAGUUGUAUCGGAACAUUUAGUCUAGUUGGCUGAUUUAUCAGAACAUUUAGUCUAGUUGUAUCAGAACAUUUAGUCUAGUUGACUGAUUUAUCAGAACAUUUAGUCUAGUUGGCUGAUUUAUCAGAACAUUUAGUCUAGUUGGCUGAUUUAUCAGAACAUUUAGUCUAGUUGUAUCGGAACAUUUAGUCUAGUUGGCUGAUUUAUCAGAACAUUUAGUCUAGUUGUAUCAGAACAUUUAGUCUAGUUGACUGAUUUAUCAGAACAUUUAGUCUAGUUGGCUGAUUUAUCAGAACAUUUAGUCUAGUUGGCUGAUUUAUCAGAACAUUUAGUCUAGUUGGCUGAUUUAUCAGAACAUUUAGUCUAGUUGACUGAUUUAUCAGAACAUUUAGUCUAGUUAGCUGAUUUUUUUAGGCCUAAUCAGAACAUUUAGUCUAGUUGGCUGAUUUAUCAGAACAUUUAGCCUAGUUGGCUGAUUUAUCAGAACAUUUAGUCUAGUUAGCUGAUUUAUUAGGCCUAAUCAGAACAUUUAGUCUAGUUGCCUGAUUCAUCAGAACAUUUAGUCUAGUUGGCUGAUUUAUCAGAACAUUUAGUCUAGUUGGCUGAUUUAUCAGAACAUUUAGCCUAGUUGGCUGAUUUAUCAGAACAUUUAGUCUAGUUAGCUGAUUUAUUAGGCCUAAUCAGAAUAUUUAGUCUAGUUGGCUGAUUUAUCAGAACAUUUAGUCUAGUUGGCUGAUUUAUUCGAACAUUUAGUCUAGUUAGCUGAUUUAUUAGGCCUAAUCAGAACAUUUAGUCUAGUUGGCUGAUUUAUCAGAACAUUUAGUCUAGUUGGCUGAUUUAUCAGAACAUUUAGUCUAGUUUGCUGAUUUAUCAGAACAUUUAGUCUAGUUGGCUGAUUUAUCAGAUCAUUUAGUCUAGUUGGCUGAUUUAUCAGAUCAUUUAGUCUAGUUGACUGAUUUAUCAGAUCAUUUAGUCUAGUUGGCUGAUUUAUCAGAACAUUUUGCCAGCAUGUUAUUCAGGAUAUGUAGUUUAUCAAGUGGAUUAUUUUGCUCCUCACUCCAGGCCCUUAGUAGCCUUACACCCAAACUAAAGCCUGUUACUUCACUGACUUGUAUCGAUCAAUGUGAUCUGGUUGAUUCUCUGGCUGGGCAAAUAAGUGGAGGUAUAGAUCAUCUAUCUGUGAUCAGAAACAUUUAGCAUCUAAUAAUGUAGCCUAAAUCAAGAGUAGGCCUGUUACCUUGCUCGAUCAUGUAAAGCCUAUACACUUUUAGUGUUGUGAAAUAUGAACAUGAGACUCACAUGCUUUUGAAAAUAGGUAUGCUAUUAUUUUCUAUUGGUAUCAUGAUGCAGAUACUAUCAAUGUAAGCCCCUACGUCUGCCCCCUAACAACGUGGAGUGAGGGUAGGAAAGAGAUGAAAUGUGGAACAAAAAGGCAAUAGGCUUUUUUUCCCCAUGACUCAAGUUGUGUGGGAAAAAUAUGAUUAUUAUUUUAUUCUGUUAUAUUCCUUUAAAUUCUUAACAUAAAAUAUGUGUGUGUUGACUGUGAUCAGGUAGGUAUGUCUUUAAUUAACCAAAUAAUGAACUAUUGAUUUCAUUAAUUUGGAGGUAAUUAAACUCAACUUUUUUACAAGCAAAAUACCGUAAAUUAAAUUUGAAGAGUGAAGUUUUAGAAAUCAAGAUCGUCUUGAUCAAUAUCACUCUCUUUGGCCUUGCUUGACUUGACAGACUUCUUUGGAGUCUUCUUCUUUGGGGAGACGACUUGUCGCUCGAGAACCUCGCUGGCUGACUCUGUGACUUCUGACACUUUGCUCUCGUUCUCUUUGUCCAUAAGGUACAUCUGCUUUCUCUUCACAGAGAGGUGGUGGCCCGAGCCUUUCCCCGACCCUGAACUCUUCUCACUGUUGGACUCUCGCUCUGCCUCUUCAUCCAGGAUUUCAUCCAGCGAGCCUGGUUGGGAUUCCAUGGAAGAUUUGGUUGGCUGGCUUUGUAGGCUCGUCUCAGAUGUCCCAGAAGGUCCAUCACCGUCGUCUUCAGACUGUCCUUUGCUUCUGACAUCAUCCGCCUCAUCGGCUGGCUCUUCCUCGGGAGCAGCAUAGUUUUUAACUGUAUCCUCCUCAUCUUCCUCCUGCUCCUCCUCAUCUUCCUCCUGCUCCUCCUCAUCUUCCUCCUGCUCCUCCUCAGCUUCUGUCUGGUCCUCCUCAACUUCCUUUUCAGCUUCCUCCUGUUCUUCCUCAGCAGCAGCAUCCUCUUCUGCUGCAUCCUUCUUCUCCACUUCCGCCUGCUCCUCCUCAGCUUCUGCCUGCUCCUCCUCAGCUUCUGCUUGCUCCUCCUCCCCUUCCUCCACCUCCUCCUCAACAGUAGUCUCCUCAACCUGAAGCUCAGCCUCUGCUGCAGUACCACCCUCCUCUUCUGCUUUGUCCUCUUGGGCCUCUGACUCCUCAUUGUUUCCUUCAGUCUCUGAAUCCUCAACGUCAGAGUAAGCACCUUCUUCAGAGUACUCUAAUCUGGAAAAGGCAUCGAAUGAGGUCACUUGAGUUUCCUUAAGUGUUUCCUCCACGUUGUCUUUCCUGAUAGCUGUCUCCUCGAUGUUUGACUCAUCUACUGGCUCUAUUUUCUCUUCUUUUUCAGCUUCCUCUUUUUCUACAUCCUCCUCAGCUUCAGCUUCAGCUCCAUUUCCUGCUCCUUCAUCUUCAGCUGUCUCUGCUUCGCCAGUCUCUUCUUCGACUGCUGUUUCAGGUUCUGCCGACUCUUCUCCUGCGUUUUCAGUCUCAUCUCCUCUUGUUUCAUCUCUGGCUGUCUGCUCUUCUCCCUCAGCUGUCUCAGCUUCAGCACUCUCUUCCUCUCCUGCUGUUUCGUCGUCAGCUGUCUCUUCCCCUGAAGUUUCAGCUAGUGCCGUUACUUCUCCUGCAGUUUCAGCUAGUGCCGACUCAUCACCGGUUGUUUCAACUUCAGCCUCCUCCUCUCCUGUAGUUUCAUCUUGAGCUGUCUCUUCUUCUGCUGCUGUCUCAGCUUCUGCCGCCUCCUCUCCUGUAGUUUCCUCUUCAACUGCCUCAGUUUCAGCUUCCUCCUCUCCAACAGUCUCGUCUUCUCCGACAGUUUCAUCUUCAGUUGAUUCUACUUUGGCACUCUCAGCUUCAACAGUUUCAUCUUCUGCUUCGUCUUCUGCUGUCUCUUCUCCCUCUACUUCAGCUUCCUUGUCUUCUCCUGCUUCAUCCUCAGCAGUCUCUGCCUCUGCAGUUUCAGCUUCAGCUUCUUCUUCUGCUGCUUCCUCUGUUUCUUCGUCAGCUGUCUCUACUUCAGCAGUGUCCUCUUCUCCUGCUGUUUCGUCAUCAGCUGCUGUCUCUGCUUCAGAAGUUGCUUCUUCUCCUGCUUCAUCUUCUACUGUCUCAGCUUCUGCUGUUUCUGCUUUAGCUUCCUCCUCCUCUUCUACUGCUUCAUCUUCUGGAGUUUCUGCGUCAACAGUUUCUUCAUCUUCAGCAAUAUCAUAUUCCUCUUCUUCUACUGCUUCAUCUUUAACUGUCUCUUCUACUGCUGCCUCAGCUUCAUUACCCAUUUCAUCAUCCUGAGCAGCAUCUUCCUGUUCUUGUGAUUCCUUCGCCUCUUUCUUAGCCCCGUUGAUAACGUUUUCAACAAGAGUUUCUGCUGCUUUGGCUUCAUCUAUACCUCCAGUCUCAUCUGUAACAUCGACUUCUUCUUGUAUCUGUGGAGGAUUGUCCUUUUUCAACUGGAGAAUUGACUUUAAAUCAAAUGCAUGUAUAAUACUAGUUUUCACUACUGUGGCUUCAUCCAUAGUUUCAGUGUCAUCAGUAGCAUCAACUUCUUGUGUCUUUGGAGUAGGGUCCUUUUUCAACUGGAGGAUUGACUUUAGAUCAAAAGCCAUCAUGACUGGAGCAAUAUGCAAAACUUCUGCAGGAAGCAGUGGCCCUAAAUCCAGUUUCUUUUUUAUACAUGUUUCACAAGGGCAAUAUUCAUCAUCACUCCGUUGGUCACUGAAUGAAGUGCCGGUUGCAUCGUCGCUUUUCUCCUCUCGGUAAUCAAUAGACUGGUUGCGCACGACCUUCAGUCUUCUUCGCCUCGUCUCAGUUUGCGCACUUAAUUCUCGUGACAAUUCUUCUUUGGGUGGUCUUGGUCUUCCACCCCGACCGUGGAUCUUCCUUAGUUCUCUGUCAAUGCUUAAUUGUAUCCUCCUAUGCACAUCGUCUUUUAGUUCGGCUAUCAUGGCAUCAAGAUGUUCGCUGUCGUCCAAAUUCCAGCGAAUCUUGAACUCAGCCAUGGCAUCCACAUAAUGUGUCAUGAACUGUUUCUCUAGUUUGUUCAGUAACUUCAAGACCCAGACAGGAUCAGGAUCCAGGGAAACCUUUUUGGCUAGUUGUGCCCUUUGGGCAGAUGGAGGAGAGCCAGAGGUUGUGUCCUCUCGAGGGUCUGAGCUCUUGUUGGAAGACGGGGGUGUUUCUGGUAAUUCUCUCAGACUUUCAUUUCUAAUGGUGUCAUCAGACGCCGGGAUGUCUUCGUCUUUUUGUUUCUCUUCCUCCACUGCUGUUCCUCCUUCUCCUCCUCCUUCCUCUGUGGUCCAUUGGACCUGACUGGCUAUGUCCAGAGUGGCUAGAUCAGACAUAGGGAUUGAGAACUCUGGGCUUUCUUGUUCCUCUGCAGUUUCGUCAACUUCUUCUACCCUCGGCAAUGCUUCCCCCUCUGCGUUCGGUGCAUGAGCCAAACCACCUGAGCUCUUACCUGAGCCUGUUGAGCCACUGCUGACGUCCACCCCAGAGGAGGACCUUGCUUUGGUGUCACCGUCCACGGAGUGUUGAUCACAGCCAUUCUGCUGUGUCUUUUGAUUCUCUGCAGGGUCACACAACCAGAGGGACUGGAGGAUGUUCAUUAGCUCUCUGUACCUUGCUUCCUUGGCAUUUGCAUCGUCAUUGUGAUCAAAGUCAAUCAACUGCAGCUUUGCGAGGCAAUCCAGGAGACCUCUGGCUGAGGUGCUCAGUUUACGUCCGUACACUGGGGAAACUUCAGGUAAGCUGUGACACCGGUCAAGCUUGGGACUCAACAGUACUUUCAUCACCUGCACUGAGGAGUGAAAGCUCUUUGAUAUGUCCUCCUGUGGAACGGUGCCCUCUGGUUGGGUCUCAGGUGGGGUCUCUGCUGGCUCCUCACCAUCAGCCACAUGGUUGGCUGCUGUCUCUUUGGGCUCUUCCUUUUCUUUUUGAGUCUCACACACAGCAGUGACAUCGUUCUCCUCCGUCCCAUUCGUUUUGUCCUUUGGUGCCAGCUCCGGUGAAUGGCCUCUGUCACUGAAUUCGUCCCCAAUGUCGUACAUCUCACUAUCAGAUGGUAUUUUCUUAAGCCACUCAUUCACCACCUCUGUUGGAGAGGCGUUUGGUAAAUUGGAGGGAACCAGCUCAGAGACAUCUCCUUCCAGCAACUGUAGGGAGGAACUGCGAGAGGAAACCCCUUUCCUGUGUUUGCACUUGCUGCUCUUGUCACUUUUGUUGUCACUGACAUUCCAG
rnacentral:lncRNA from 1 species